rnacentral:rRNA from 1 species
UACGUAGGGUGCGAGCGUUGUCCGGAUUUAUUGGGCGUAAAGAGCGUGUAGGCGGUUUGGUAGGUCCGUUGUGAAAACUCGAGGCUCAACCUUGAGACGCCGAUGGAAACCAUCAGACUAGAGUCCGGAAGAGGAGAGUGGAAUUCCUGGUGUAGCGGUGAAAUGCGCAGAUAUCGGGAAGAACACCCGUGGCUAAGGCGGCUCUCUAGUACGGUACUGACGCUGAGACGCGAAAGCGUGGGGAGCGAACAGG